CGCGGGGUAGAGCAGCCCGGUAGCUCGUCUGGCCCAUAACCAGAAGGUCGUUGGUUCAAAUCCAACCCCCGCCACCA
rnacentral:tRNA from 1 species